UAAGCGACUAAGCGUACACGGUGGAUGCCCUGGCAGUCAGAGGCGAUGAAGGACGUGCUAAUCUGCGAUAAGCGUCGGUAAGGUGAUAUGAACCGUUAUAACCGGCGAUUUCCGAAUGGGGAAACCCAGUGUGUUUCGACACACUAUCAUUAACUGAAUCCAUAGGUUAAUGAGGCGAACCGGGGGAACUGAAACAUCUAAGUACCCCGAGGAAAAGAAAUCAACCGAGAUUCCCCCAGUAGCGGCGAGCGAACGGGGAGCAGCCCAGAGCCUGAAUCAGUGUGUGUGUUAGUGGAAGCGUCUGGAAAGGCGCGCGAUACAGGGUGACAGCCCCGUACACAAAAAUGCACAUGCUGUGAGCUCGAUGAGUAGGGCGGGACACGUGGUAUCCUGUCUGAAUAUGGGGGGACCAUCCUCCAAGGCUAAAUACUCCUGACUGACCGAUAGUGAACCAGUACCGUGAGGGAAAGGCGAAAAGAACCCCGGCGAGGGGAGUGAAAAAGAACCUGAAACCGUGUACGUACAAGCAGUGGGAGCACGCUUAGGCGUGUGACUGCGUACCUUUUGUAUAAUGGGUCAGCGACUUAUAUUCUGUAGCAAGGUUAACCGAAUAGGGGAGCCGAAGGGAAACCGAGUCUUAACUGGGCGUUAAGUUGCAGGGUAUAGACCCGAAACCCGGUGAUCUAGCCAUGGGCAGGUUGAAGGUUGGGUAACACUAACUGGAGGACCGAACCGACUAAUGUUGAAAAAUUAGCGGAUGACUUGUGGCUGGGGGUGAAAGGCCAAUCAAACCGGGAGAUAGCUGGUUCUCCCCGAAAGCUAUUUAGGUAGCGCCUCGUGAAUUCAUCUCCGGGGGUAGAGCACUGUUUCGGCAAGGGGGUCAUCCCGACUUACCAACCCGAUGCAAACUGCGAAUACCGGAGAAUGUUAUCACGGGAGACACACGGCGGGUGCUAACGUCCGUCGUGAAGAGGGAAACAACCCAGACCGCCAGCUAAGGUCCCAAAGUCAUGGUUAAGUGGGAAACGAUGUGGGAAGGCCCAGACAGCCAGGAUGUUGGCUUAGAAGCAGCCAUCAUUUAAAGAAAGCGUAAUAGCUCACUGGUCGAGUCGGCCUGCGCGGAAGAUGUAACGGGGCUAAACCAUGCACCGAAGCUGCGGCAGCGACGCUGAUGCGUUGUUGGGUAGGGGAGCGUUCUGUAAGCCUGCGAAGGUGUGCUGUGAGGCAUGCUGGAGGUAUCAGAAGUGCGAAUGCUGACAUAAGUAACGAUAAAGCGGGUGAAAAGCCCGCUCGCCGGAAGACCAAGGGUUCCUGUCCAACGUUAAUCGGGGCAGGGUGAGUCGACCCCUAAGGCGAGGCCGAAAGGCGUAGUCGAUGGGAAACAGGUUAAUAUUCCUGUACUUGGUGUUACUGCGAAGGGGGGACGGAGAAGGCUAUGUUGGCCGGGCGACGGUUGUCCCGGUUUAAGCGUGUAGGCUGGUUUUCCAGGCAAAUCCGGAAAAUCAAGGCUGAGGCGUGAUGACGAGGCACUACGGUGCUGAAGCAACAAAUGCCCUGCUUCCAGGAAAAGCCUCUAAGCAUCAGGUAACAUCAAAUCGUACCCCAAACCGACACAGGUGGUCAGGUAGAGAAUACCAAGGCGCUUGAGAGAACUCGGGUGAAGGAACUAGGCAAAAUGGUGCCGUAACUUCGGGAGAAGGCACGCUGAUAUGUAGGUGAGGUCCCUCGCGGAUGGAGCUGAAAUCAGUCGAAGAUACCAGCUGGCUGCAACUGUUUAUUAAAAACACAGCACUGUGCAAACACGAAAGUGGACGUAUACGGUGUGACGCCUGCCCGGUGCCGGAAGGUUAAUUGAUGGGGUUAGCGCAAGCGAAGCUCUUGAUCGAAGCCCCGGUAAACGGCGGCCGUAACUAUAACGGUCCUAAGGUAGCGAAAUUCCUUGUCGGGUAAGUUCCGACCUGCACGAAUGGCGUAAUGAUGGCCAGGCUGUCUCCACCCGAGACUCAGUGAAAUUGAACUCGCUGUGAAGAUGCAGUGUACCCGCGGCAAGACGGAAAGACCCCGUGAACCUUUACUAUAGCUUGACACUGAACAUUGAGCCUUGAUGUGUAGGAUAGGUGGGAGGCUUAGAAGUGUGGACGCCAGUCUGCAUGGAGCCGACCUUGAAAUACCACCCUUUAAUGUUUGAUGUUCUAACGUUGACCCGUAAUCCGGGUUGCGGACAGUGUCUGGUGGGUAGUUUGACUGGGGCGGUCUCCUCCUAAAGAGUAACGGAGGAGCACGAAGGUUGGCUAAUCCUGGUCGGACAUCAGGAGGUUAGUGCAAUGGCAUAAGCCAGCUUGACUGCGAGCGUGACGGCGCGAGCAGGUGCGAAAGCAGGUCAUAGUGAUCCGGUGGUUCUGAAUGGAAGGGCCAUCGCUCAACGGAUAAAAGGUACUCCGGGGAUAACAGGCUGAUACCGCCCAAGAGUUCAUAUCGACGGCGGUGUUUGGCACCUCGAUGUCGGCUCAUCACAUCCUGGGGCUGAAGUAGGUCCCAAGGGUAUGGCUGUUCGCCAUUUAAAGUGGUACGCGAGCUGGGUUUAGAACGUCGUGAGACAGUUCGGUCCCUAUCUGCCGUGGGCGCUGGAGAACUGAGGGGGGCUGCUCCUAGUACGAGAGGACCGGAGUGGACGCAUCACUGGUGUUCGGGUUGUCAUGCCAAUGGCACUGCCCGGUAGCUAAAUGCGGAAGAGAUAAGUGCUGAAAGCAUCUAAGCACGAAACUUGCCCCGAGAUGAGUUCUCCCUGACUCCUUGAGAGUCCUGAAGGAACGUUGAAGACGACGACGUUGAUAGGCCGGGUGUGUAAGCGCAGCGAUGCGUUGAGCU
rnacentral:rRNA from 1 species